CGGUCGCAAGAUUAAACUCAAAGGAAUUGACGGGGGCCUGCACAAGCGGUGAAGCAUGUGGUUUAAUUCGAAGCAACGCGCAAGAACCUUACCAGCCUUUGACAUCCUAGGACGGCUUCUGAAGACAGAUUCCUUCCCUUCGGGGACCUAGUGACAGGUGCUGCAUGGCUGUCGUCAGCUCGUGUCGUGAGAUGUUGGGUUAAGUCCCGCAACGAGCGCAACCCUCGUCCUUAGUUGCCAUCAUUUAGUUGGGCACUUUAAGGAAACUGCCGGUGAUAAGCCGGAGGAAGGUGGGGAUGACGUCAAGUCCUCAUGGCCCUUACAGGCUGGGCUACACACGUGCUACAAUGGCGGUGACAGUGGGCAGCGAACUCGCGAGAGUGAGCUAAUCUCCAAAAGCCGUCUCAGUUCGGAUUGUUCUCUGCAACUCGAGAGCAUGAAGGCGGAAUCGCUAGUAAUCGCGGAUCAGCAUGCCGCGGUGAAUACGUUCCCAGGCCUUGUACACACCGCCCGUCACACCAUGGGAGUUGGUUUCACCCGAAGAUCGUGCGCUAACCUUUUAGGAGGCAGCGAGCCACGGUGGGAUCAGCGACUGGGGUG
rnacentral:rRNA from 1 species